AACAGGAUUAGAUACCCUGGUAGUCCACGCCGUAAACGAUGUCGACUUGGAGGUUGUGCCCUUGAGGCGUGGCUUCCGGAGCUAACGCGUUAAGUCGACCGCCUGGGAAGUACGGCCGCAAGGUUAAAACUCAAAUGAAUUGACGGGGGCCCGCACAAGCGGUGGAGCAUGUGGUUUAAUUCGAUGCAACGCGAAGAACCUUACCUGGUCUUGACAUCCACGGAAGUUUCCAGAGAUGAGAAUGUGCCUUCGGGAACCGUGAGACAGGUGCUGCAUGGCUGUCGUCAGCUCGUGUUGUGAAAUGUUGGGUUAAGUCCCGCAACGAGCGCAACCCUUAUCCUUUGUUGCCAGCGGUCCGGCCGGGAACUCAAAGGAGACUGCCAGUGAUAAACUGGAGGAAGGUGGGGAUGACGUCAAGUCAUCAUGGCCCUUACGACCAGGGCUACACACGUGCUACAAUGGCGCAUACAAGGAGAAGCGACCUCGCGAGAGCAAGCGGACCUCAUAAAGUGCGUCGUAGUCCGGAUUGGAGUCUGCAACUCGACUCCAUGAAGUCGGAAUCGCUAGUAAUCGUGGAUCAGAAUGCCACGGUGAAUACGUUCCCGGGCCUUGUACACACCGCCCGUCACACCAUGGGAGUGGGUUGCAAAAGAAGUAGGUAGCUUAACCUUCGGGAGGGCGCUUACCACUUUGUGAUUCAUGACUGGGGUGAAGUCGUAACAAGGUAACC
rnacentral:rRNA from 1 species